CUAGUCUCGGACUCGAAAGAGAGUAGCUGGCUCUGUUUAUCUCAAAUUAAGUCACAAAAGCUUUCAAGAUUAAUUCUUAUCCUCUCUCACUUUUUUCUUCUUUGUUUCUUCUCACUUCUGGUGAAGCAAAUUUCCAACCAAUAAAAUCAACAAGGGAGAUCUCACGAGGAUGAUGAAGAAGGAACAGGAAGAGGAUUUUGUGUAAACCAUCAAGAUCCGACCUAUAUAUCCAUGGAUGAUCUCAUCUUUGCUUCUUACUCCAUCUGAAACACUCAAAGACUAAUAUCUAUUGUUUAAGACUUAAA